AAUAGAUACCCGGGUAGUCCACGCCGUAAACGAUGAAUGCUAGGUGUUAGGGGUUUCGAUACCCUUGGUGCCGAAGUUAACACAUUAAGCAUUCCGCCUGGGGAGUACGGUCGCAAGACUGAAACUCAAAGGAAUUGACGGGGACCCGCACAAGCAGUGGAGUAUGUGGUUUAAUUCGAAGCAACGCGAAGAACCUUACCAGGUCUUGACAUCCCUCUGAAUCCUCUAGAGAUAGAGGCGGCCUUCGGGACAGAGGAGACAGGUGGUGCAUGGUUGUCGUCAGCUCGUGUCGCGAGAUGUUGGGUUAAGUCCCGCAACGAGCGCAACCCUUGAUUUUAGUUGCCAGCACAUUAAGGUGGGCACUCUAGAAUGACUGCCGGUGACAAACCGGAGGAAGGCGGGGAUGACGUCAAAUCAUCAUGCCCCUUAUGACCUGGGCUACACACGUACUACAAUGGCCAGUACAACGGGAAGCGAAGUCGCGAGACGGAGCCAAUCCUAUCAAAGCUGGUCUCAGUUCGGAUUGCAGG
rnacentral:rRNA from 1 species